rnacentral:rRNA from 1 species
UUGCUUUUGUUGAUGGCGACCGGCGCACGGGUGAGUAACGCGUAUCCAACCUUCCCUUUCUGCUCCCGGCAUAGCCCGGCGAAAGUCGGAUUAAUACCCUAUGUUAUCCAGCGAUGGCAUCUGAAAUGGAUUAAAGAUUUAUCGCUAAGGGAUGGGGAUGCGUCUGAUUAGGUUGUUGGCGGGGUAACGGCCCACCAAGCCUACGAUCAGUAGUGUGUGUUCUGAGAGGAAGGUCCCCCACAUUGGUACUGAGACACGGACCAAACUCCUACGGGAGGCAGCAGUGAGGAAUAUUGGUCAAUGGGCGACGCACCAGCAACCAGCCAAGUAGCGUGCAGGAUGACGGCCCUAUGGGUUGUAAACUGCUUCUGCAUGGUUAUUGUAUAGGUGAGGGACGUGUCCCUUCCUUGUAUGUACCAUGAGAAUAAGGACCGGCUAAUUCCGUGCCAGCAGCCGCGGUAAUACGGGAGGGGUCCGGGGCGUUAUCCGGAUUUAUUGGGUUUAAAGGGGAGCGCAGCUGCCUGUUAAGCGUGACGUGAAAUGCCGCGGCUCAAC